rnacentral:rRNA from 1 species
UACGAAGGGUGCAAGCGUUAAUCGGAAUUACUGGGCGUAAAGGGUGCGUAGGCGGUUCGUUAAGUCUGUCGUGAAAUCCCCCGGCUUAACCUGGGAACUGCGUCUGAUACUGGAAGGCUUGAGUAUGGGAGAGGGAUGUAGAAUUCCAGGUGUAGCGGUGAAAUGCGUAGAUAUCAGGAGGAACACCGGUGGCGAAGGCGGAUCUCUGGGCCGUAACUGACGCUGAGGAGCGAAAGCAUGGGUAGCGAACAGG